rnacentral:lncRNA from 1 species
CUGCCUCAGCCUCUCAAAGUGCUGGGAUUACAGGCAUGAGCCACGGUGCCUGGGCUGACAAAUAUUUAUUAUUGAGUUUGUGGAACCCAGAAUGAUCUAGGGCCUCAGUGGCCACUGAACCCUGGGGCACACUUGAACAAAAAUAUGGGCUUCUCAGCCACUAUGCCUUGACAUCCUCUCUAAUCAGAAGUUUGUGUAAUAAGUGCAAAAGACAAUAUUCACAGUGACAAUGAUACUGUGAACUGCCAUAGGGAGAGUAGACAUGACUGUGGUGACAAUGCAGCGGCAGCAGGACCCUGUCCUCUCAUAAGUGGGCAUCCUUUCCCCAUGUGAACACCACAUAGCAGAAACGCCCAUCUUCCAAAGCCCUUUUAUCAUGUUAUGAAUUAUUUACACUUCCAUAUAUUUCAGUUAAAGAGUGGUAAUCAGAUCUGUAUGGAUGCCACUUGGGUCAUUUGUCAUUUCACUUGAAGGCAAAGAAAUGUUUUUAACUGGGAUAAGAUUAGCUGCCGAGGUGGAGCUGAUAUCUGAGCGAGGCUCUCGAGGACACAUUCUGGAUAGAUCUCCAUAUGGGAGUUGGAUGACUGCCACCAGCCAGUCUUGGCAGUCCCCAGAAUUCUUCUGAAGUGGACAGUGGAAGAAGUGAAACAUUUGCCUGGCAGCUGGCAUCAAUGCAGUCUCUCUCUGGACAUGCAGAAGAAAAGGUUCAAAAGGAACUGAACCCAAACCAGUCUUUAUUUGAUUUUAGAUGGAAUUAAAACAUUUUUGUGGGUCUCGACAAGUAUUGCCAGCACUGCACCUGCCACCCUGAUAGCAAACUCCAGUGGAAGUAACAGCAGAUCUUGCAAAUAGAGAAACAUCUGCCUCAGUUCUGAAGCAAGCAAGUGACCAUCCUCAUGCCACAAAAUAGAAGAACUUCUGCUAGAUCCAGAACUGUCACCCCUGGGUCGCAUGGAGGCCUUGAGGGUUGGGAUUCAAUCCUCAUUCCUGAGAAGGUGAGAAGCAUAGCAAGGAGGUCAGGGGAUCUGAGGGGCUUCAGUGAUGCCCCUUACUUGAGCUCUCUCUGAUCUCUCUUAACCAGGAGCUCUAGAACCCCAUUGUGAAUGUGGACAUUGUUAUGGAUGCAAAUGUCCACCUGUGCAGAGAAUUAGGCAAGACAGAGAGAGGUGUUUUUCUGGGAAGACUGUCUGAGCGAGCAACCACAAAGUUUCUGGUCAUGGUUCCUGCCCUGCCUCCCUCUCUACUUUGGAGCUCCUGUAACUCCAAGUGGAUAAUAUACGGUUUUGUUUUUGUCAUUGUUAUUGUUGAUGUUGCUUGUCUUUACUUUGUAAAAUAUGAACCUUUCAUCAUAUGAGUGAUUUUGGCAAAAUGCACCUCAGACAUUCAAAUACUUCCUAUUUAUUAAGCGCCUCCCACUGUGCAAUCCAUAUGCUAGGCACUGCAGAUGAUGUCUUAGUCUUUAUAACAACCUUGCAGGUUGGAUAGCAUUGUUCCCUUUUCAGAAAUGUGGGAACAUGCCCAAGGUUCAGGGUAUUCUAAGUGGGAGAAUUCAGAUCCAGCUCACUCAGAGGUCUCUGCUGGCCCAGGUCUGUCCAUUGUCUUCUAGUGUAAAUGAAGGCAGCUGCUCUGAAGGCAGGAGGACCAGGCUUAAUCUGAAACCUGUGAUCAUUGAAACAAGCAUGGCCUGCUCUGCACAGGGUUCAAAUGAAUAGGUCUCUAUUUUCUCCUUUCUACAUAAUCACUCAAAUAAGAUAGGGACUAGAGUCAGGCAAGUGAGACUCUCAUCCCAGGAAGAAAAUAGAAGGGAGCACAAAAAAACUCAGUAAUCAAGAUAAAUAAUAACUUUAAUACAAUACAGUGUUUUAAAAAAUCAAGUCCUCAAACUAUAGCUGUCUGCCUAGCUAUUUUUAAACAUAAAGCUUUACCAAGGCUGGGAUGAGGCUUGAGCAAAUGAGGCCAGUUGUACAAGUUCAGUGUCAGAUCCUAUUUAAAGUUUUGAUAUUUUGUUCAUCAUGUUUAUUUUUUUCAUUAAUUCUAUCUGAAGCACCCACCCACCUUCUCAGCAGAUAUCUCCCUCUGGGGCUACCCUUUCCACAUGAGUUAUAGGGACCUGUGAUGUGCAAAAGGAAGUUACACAACUUCUCUUCAUGAUUUCUGUCUUUUGGGCACAAAAUUCUGACUUUUGAAGAAUACAGUUGCAUAAUCACCACCACAAUCAAGAUAUACAACAGUUCCAUUAUCCUAAAUAGUCAUCCCAUCCUCCACUCCCAAUAACUGGCAACUACCGGUCUGUUUUUCUGUCCCUAUAGUUUUGCCUUUUCCAGAAUGUCAUUUACAUGGAACAAUAUAGUAUGAAGCCUCUUGAGCCUGGCUCCUUUCAUUUAGUAUAAGUAUCUGAGAGUCUUCCAUGUUGUGUGUAGCAGUAGUUCCUAUCUUUGUAUUGCUGGCUAGUAUUCCAUUGUUGGAUGUACUUAUUUGGGUUGUUUUCAGCUUGGGGAGGCUAUGAAUAAACCACUGUAAACACUUGCUUUCAGAGUUUUACAUGCAUAUAAGUUUUCAUUUACUUUGGGUAAAUACCUAUGAGUGGGUUUAUUGGAUCAUUUGAUAUGUCUACUUUUCACUUUCUAAGAAACUGCCAGACUAGUUUCCAAAGGGGCCCUUUUGCAUUCCCACCAGCAAUUGACUUUAGUUUUUGAGGGUGGGACUAAGGAGGACCCAAUCCCCAGGUGUGUUGACAUCCCUACCUCCCAACUGUGAAUGGGGUCAAGACCUCUGGCAUCUUAGUGACGGGCACCUUAGCACUCCCCAGCAAUCUCUGAGGAGUGAGGACAUGGAAGGAGGGAUUUCUGGGUUGUCUUGGAGAUCUACUCAAAGGACGUUGUGAAACCUAGGUGUUCAACAACAAAUAAAUAGAUAAAGAAAAUGCGGUGUAUAUAUACCAUGGAAUACUAUUCAGCCAU